GGAGAGUCUUAGAAAUGUUUACCACAUCCAAGGACGGCAGUGGAAACUAAAACUACCCACUCCGCCCCGACGGGAAGGUAGUGACGAUAAGUGUGAAUACGGGACUCAAUCUAAACUCCUUAAUCAGUAUGAUUACGAUUUAAUUCCUCUAAUAUAACUCUGGCACUCAGAAUUCGCUCUCCAACCAUUCCUCCUUAAAGCUACUGCAGUUAAAACUUUCAUAGCUGAAUCUUGGUAGUGUGGUUGCAUACCGUUGCCUGUCUGGUUUUUCUUACGACUAGGACUUGUGCUCAACUCAGUGCAGCCGCUAUUCACAGCCUUUGCAUCGUAUCUGUGUAAAUAGAUGUUUAUAGAGACACAAAU
rnacentral:ncRNA from 1 species